UCCGGUGUUGCUCAGUGGCAGAGUGCAUGCCUGGCAUGCGUGAGGACCUGGGUUUGAGCCCCAGCACUGUAC
rnacentral:tRNA from 1 species